GCUCUGCUCCGCUCCGUUCGGUGCCGACGCCUCCAUCCAGGGUCACGUGAUCUGGGUUGACGUCGCAAAAGCGCCUGCCUCCCUGCGUCAGCGCACUAUAUCGGACGUCGUGUAACGCGUUUUGCACCCUUAUAACAUGUGACCUUUUCUAGUUUGAGGGGGAAAAAACAUGAUGUCAUGUCAGUCAGCACACAGCACGUGUCUGUGGACUAGGAGAGAAAACUGUAGUUACCUGGAGGAAACACCUAAAGAGUCAAGUCAAGAGUCUAGUCAAGUCAAGUGUCAAGUCAAGAAUCAAGUCAAGUCAGAGUCAGAAUCAGAAUCAGAAAGAUCUUUAUUGCCAGUGUUCAUCAGAUGGAUUGCCUGAGGGAAGAAACUUCCUAUGUCUGGUCGUUCUGUUCAGAGAAGUGCAUCUGUGCAGCAACCUGGUGCAAACGGUGCAGGACAAGAUAGUGCAGGGCAGGAGACAGUGCAAACAAAUGAUACAAGACAAUACACACAAAAAACAUCUCUUACAGUCAUUAUUAUGAUGUCACUAGAAAAUCCUCCACCCCCCAGUUUAUGCUACACAAAAUGAAAAAGUCACUUUAAUAACCAUGUUGAUAUAAAUUAUGUGGAUUUCUCGACAUGUGGAUUUCUCAAAGUCUCGACAAAGCAUUGAUAAACAUAGUAUGAAAGUAAAAGACAGAGCUAUAACAGAAAGACUAGGCUACAUAAUAUAAUAUCUGCAUAUAAGGAUUAGGCCUACUGCUGGAAUAAUUUGACAUCAGUGAAGAAGAAGAGCUUCUUGAUUCAAAAGAUUUGAAUCAUUCACUGAGUCGAGCAAAUCCUCCACAGGAGGUGACCAUCUAAAAUAAUCCACCCAGCACAUGUGGGGCAACUGUGGAGUCCACUGAGGGCAUGCAACAUAAAAAUAGAAGACAUCAGAAAUCCUCAUUGAUUACACAACAGGUGAUGGCUCUGCCUUUUUCUUGACGGCAUGGCGUUUGAUUAUUUUCAGAAAAUUGUAUAACGAUAAUGGUGAGAUUUUGAAUAUUUGAGGAUCUUCAAAUAUGAGAGAAUGGUGGAAUACAACGCAGAUGUGAAGCAUGAACCGGAUGUAUGUAUAAAUAAUUGGGGAAUGUAUAAAUACUUCAUAUUUUAUGCAUUAUUAGAACUGUCAGUCAUAACAUCAUACGUGUAUGUUACACACACUAUUGCUGCUGUAUAUUGUACAAAAGCACAAUGUACUAUAUUAUCUCACAUUGUCUCAUAUUGUCUGUAUUGUUGGAAUUUGGACAA